rnacentral:rRNA from 1 species
UACGAAGGGGGCAAGCGUUGUUCGGAAUUACUGGGCGUAAAGGGCGCGUAGGCGGUGCACUAAGUCAGGCGUGAAAGCCCUGGGCUCAACCCGGGAAUUGCGCUUGAUACUGGUGCGCUUGAAUCCAGGAGAGGUUGGUGGAAUUCCCAGUGUAGAGGUGAAAUUCGUAGAGAUUGGGAAGAACACCGGUGGCGAAGGCGGCCAA